UCGAGAAGGGACCUGUGGUAAACCGACAGCUGCUUCAGUUUUGCCCAAAGUUGGGCAGGAAGGCUUGUGUCACCAGGUGGUACUAUUAAUAACUCCGGGUAAGCCUGUCCCCAGGCUGGCUGGCAGCUUCCAUAAAGCCUGAGCCGAGGACCCAGAAAGUCUUCUUCAGCCCCUGAGACCUUUAAAUCCCAUGUUGUGAGACAAAAAAGAAAAUCAUUUGUGUUCUACGCGAUGACCUUUCUCCAAUAUUGUCCCUCGGUGUGGAGGUGACCCUUGGCUCUCGACGGCUGUGCCAGCAUGUUCUGCCAAACUGACAAGGGUUGAGGACAGACUGCGUGACCCACUGCUGACAGAUGAGAAGUGAUGAAAGACGGAAAAGGGAGAGAAUACAUUAGCUUCUCUCUGGCCAGAAGGAUCAUGUGACUCCAAAUGCAGAGAUGGUGGGUGGACAUGGUCUUCCAGCACACAGGAGGCACUUGGUCAAGGUCUAUUAAAUGGAAAUAACUGGCUGGCACCAAAAGAUAGAAAAACAGUUACUGGAUUAUAUCUAAUAAAACAUUAAAAAAAAGCCCAACCUAAAACCCACCAAAGGAAGGCUUCCAUCAAAUUGAAUAAAUUCUCUAUGGAGGAUUUGUGGGAAUACAUGGAUUCACACAGGAUGAGAAGAUUUGGAAACAGGCUGGAUCUGCCUUAUGGAGGAGAGCAGACACCUUGAUGAGAUUACGGUAUCCAUUCAAGCAUUGGAGCAACUUGGUUCUGACUUCCCAGUGAAACGGUGACCCUGUCUAGGCUUGGGAUGAUUACCUUGUAAAAGUCAUCCUGGUGGAUCACACAGCAGUUUGGUAAUAUUUUGAUGAGUCUAUUGGUCAGUGUGGUUUUUCCUCCAUUGGUCAUGCUAGGGAAAGAGGAUUAAAAUCAGGUAAUCACGGCAUAUAGGGCACCCCAGAUCUUAAGUUUUAAUAGCUUAAGGUGGCUUCAAACUGCACCAAGACUUUCAGUACAGCUGGUAUCAUUUAUCCUUGGAUGAUAAUCAUAGGCAUCAGCUUCUUUCCAGGAAGUGACCAUUCACUACAGCCCCUGAUAAUAAUCUUUCAUUCAUCCAUUCAAGGUCUAUUAAGCUACUACCAUAUGCCAGGCCCUGAGCAUAAACAGAAAGAAAUGGAAUGGUCCCAUCCUCAAGGAGCUUAUUUUUCUGUUUUCCUUUAUUAAGGUUUUCUGGACAUCUGGUACAUUCAAUUUCGGAUUGUUCUCUUUCAAAAUUAUGUUGCAUGGUGUUCAGCAGGAAUUCAGCCUGGGACCUCAGGAAGGGGAGAGGACAUAUUGAUGCAAGAAUAUGAUGAGAUUAAAAGAAAAUAAAUGAAGAGGGCUUAUGGUGCAGUGGGUAGAGAUGUGCUAGGUUUAAGUUCUAUGUCUGACACAUGCUGGCUAGGUGACCCUGAGCAAGUCAUCUAACUUUUUAACAUCCCCUCCCCCAAGCAACUAUAUAAGGCUAUGAACUGCAGCUCAUGAGCCAAUCUGCAUUGGUAAAAAAAAAAUCUAUGUUUGUCUUUUGGAACCUCCUUAGACCAAUGAAGUCUAAUAAGUGAAGUUUAUAUUAAGUUUAAUAAAAAACAGAAAGGAAAAUGAAAGGCUAGCUAACACAACAGAAUUCCAUCUUUUUAGAGCCAAGUGUUUAAGAAAAGCUAAAGGCUUUACAUGUUCAGAACAACAUUCCCACUUUAAAAAAGCAAACAGUUUCUAAUUCUGUUAUACAAACUAGAUGGAAAAGAUGGCCUUUCAUAUAUAAACACCACUGAGUUUUCAUUUACUUCUCUCAUUUAUUUUUUCAAUGCAGGCCUUUUUCCAGAAAGGAUUUCAUGGGAUCUAAGAGCUAGAGCAGGAACAGACCUUAGAGGUCAUCUAUUCCGUACUCCUCAUUUUAGGUUAUGAGGAAAAUGAAGCCCGGGGAGUUGGAAUGAUUUGCUCACAGUCACCUGGGUAGCAAGUGGAACAGAUGGUCCCAUAAUUCCAAGGCUGGAUUUGAACUCAGGUCUUCCUGAUGCUUCCCAAUGCUAUUCUGUGCCAUCUAACUGACCCUAUAUAAUAAUCAUCAUCAUCGUAAUAAUGAUAAUAAUGCUAAUUGGAUGUUGUAGAUGCAUAGAGGUGAUAGGAUUCCAGAAUUAGAAGCCAUGCACCAGUUUACAAAUGAGGCCCGGGGAAGUCGGGAGAUUUGCCCAAGGUCACACAAGACACAUCAGACCCAGGCAGAUCUGACUCCAGAGCCAGGGCUCUUUCCACCGUCUUAUAAUUUUUCAAGUAUGGACAAGAAGGAAAGGAGGAAACAAACAUCUGUGAAGUGCCUACUAUGUGCCAGGCACUGUAUGGAAUGUUUUACAGUAUCAUCUCACUUGACCCUCUCAAUAAUCCUGGGAGGUAAGUGCUACUAUUAUCUCUGCUUUACCAAUGAAGACACUGAGAGUGGGGGAAGUUAAGUGACUUGCUCAAGGUCACACAGCUAGAGUAUCUGAGGCAGGAUUUGAAUUCAGGUCUAUUAACUUGAGCUACCUUGCUUGCCUCUGAGCCCCCUUCCCCCUCUUUUUCUGAGAUUCUAGAAUGCUGCAAUAAACUUGAAGACCAGCUCAUUUCCAUGCCUAGUUCAAGCGCGCUGACUGGGGUGACAACAGUCUAGAUGGCGAUGUCCUGGACAAAAAGCCUGCAGGUUGUUCUAGGGAGCUCCACAGGGGAUUGGGGGAGAUAGGGUUUCAGAACACUCCAUCUUGAUUUCCUGGAGCCCAGAUGGAACAAGCCUCAGUGAAGCAGAGAAGGCUGAGAAAGAUCCCCAUCCUGGGAUGGGGGUU